rnacentral:tRNA from 1 species
GCCUUCGUGGUAAAACUGGAAGCACGUUCGACACAUAUUCGGAAGGUUCUGAGUUCGAAUCCCGGCGAGGGCA